rnacentral:lncRNA from 1 species
GGCAUUAGGUGGCCCCAUGAAUUCCCUUCUUUAAUAAUGAAGCCCCUUCUUCCUAGGCUUUCUGCACUCGAUUAGAAGAGGAUUGCUCUGGGGUACUGACUCCACUUUGAACUCCUCUGGAAUCAUAGUGCAGCAUGAAAGCAGAAGAAGCAUUUCAGAGAUUUAGAGAGAGAAGGGCAGCGAUUUUCUUCACUGCAUGGAGAGGAAGAUUAACAUUCAACUAAAGGAUACUCUGGAUGGUCAUUCUACUUGUGCCUCGGACAGGUCAGAAACUGGCAGCAAUUUCUGGAAUGUCAAAAGUAAAAAUAAGAAGUGGAG